UACGGGGGGGGCAAGCGUUGUUCGGAAUUACUGGGCGUAAAGGGCGCGUAGGCGGUCUGCUAAGUUGGAUGUGAAAACUCUGGGCUUAACCCAGAGCCUGCAUUCAAUACUGACAGGCUAGAGUUCUGGAGGGGAUAGCGGAAUUCCUGGUGUAGCGGUGAAAUGCGUAGAUAUCAGGAGGAACACCGGUGGCGAAGGCGGGAUCCUGGGCCAGUACUGACGCUGAGGAGCGAAAGCGUGGGGAGCGAACAGG
rnacentral:rRNA from 1 species